UCAGGCCUAACACAUGCAAGUCGAGCGAGACCUUCGGGUCUAGCGGCGGACGGGUGAGUAACGCGUGGGAAUAUGCCCUUCGGUUCGGAAUAGCCCCGGGAAACUGGGAGUAAUACCGGAUACGGUCUACGGACGAAAGAUUUAUCGCCGAAGGAUUAGCCCGCGUUGGAUUAGGUAGUUGGUGGGGUAAUGGCCUACCAAGCCGACGAUCCAUAGCUGGUUUGAGAGGAUGAUCAGCCACACUGGGACUGAGACACGGCCCAGACUCCUACGGGAGGCAGCAGUGGGGAAUCUUAGACAAUGGGGGAAACCCUGAUCUAGCCAUGCCGCGGAGCAGAAGGAGGCCUUAGGGUUGUAAAGCUCUUCAGCGGGAAGAUAAUG
rnacentral:rRNA from 1 species